rnacentral:lncRNA from 1 species
GCUUAUUUGCCAUCUGCCUAUCCUUUUUGGUGAAAUAUCAGUUCAUGUCUUUCAGCCAUGUUUAAUUUUUUUUUACUGUUGAGUUUUGAAAGUUCUUUAUAUAUUCUAGAAGAUGCAAAAUGUUUGUCAGAUAUUGGCUUGCAAAUAUUUUCUCCCAGUCUGCAGGUUGUCUUUUCACCCUCUAAACAGAGUCUUUCACAGCAUGAAACAAAUGGAGGCUUUAAAUGGCCAUUUCAGAAAAGCCUGACCUAGCCUUGAGAGCGUCGGACACGGUCACUCCACCGGUUCCCACUCACGAGGGCAGAUCAUGGGUUUAAAUCCCAUUUGGGUGUGCUAAUUCAGCUUCACAAUAGCUCACCCACCAUGGGCUUAACGCUAUUCAGUGGCCACAGGUGAGUGUGUUUCAGGACAUCACAAAAAGAUAAGCUGAGAAAGAGUGGCCCACCGCUGCCAGAACAGCUUGAGGGCAAGUCCCCACUGACCCGGAAAGUGAGUCAGUUGCAUCACCCCCUUAGAAACCUGGAAAAUGCUUCAUCAUCGGUGUAGAGCGAGAGCCAGCAUUCAAAACGCCAGGGGGCUUAUCAGGCCAUUUCACCACAACAUAAAGUAACAGGCAGACUUGAAUUCAUCUGGCACUGUUGACCAACACAGAGAGCCAAAACACACACGGAAUUCAAAAUCAGAAAUAAUCCCAAGUUUGAGUCAUCCAAUGUGCUUGUCUACAUUGAUUGCACUCACCAGAUAAAAGUCCAAUGCACUCUGUGGGGUGAAACAGCCUCUGUCUCAGGUUGGGAGUUGCUGCCAUGGAGACCACAAGAGUGGAGAUUUUCUGACACACAGAAAGGAAUGGAUUACAGCUCCUUCUUAUGUAAAUUUCCAUGGAGGGGAAAAAAGAUUAAAAGGAAAAUAAUUCUGCUUUAGUCGUUUUCCUUUAAGGUGAUAAGAUCCUUUGAUUCCAUCGUGGAGAAGAAGGCAACAGCUGUUUGUCACAAAUGUGGGAAGCUGCUUCUUGGGCAGGGUGGAUUUCCAUCUGCGUCUCCUUUUCGGUGUUGAAAGCUGGUCCAAAAUGGCUGCUAAAAUUCCUGCCACUACAUCUGGAUCCCAGGCAGCAGGAAGGAGAAAUGGAAGAAGACCUGUCCUGUCCCUGAGACAAUGCCAUUCAGCAUGUUCCAUACAAUAUCUCUGCUUAUUGAUCACUGGCCAGAACUUGACAGAGAUGAACAAUGAGGCUUUUUUGUUCUGCUUUUUAUGUUCUGCUACAGACAAAAAGAAAAAAAAGCGUAUGUAUUUAUAGUCUACUUGAUUUUAAUAAAGGAUUGAGUGCAGCCUAAGGCAUGUGCAUGUUAUCCUGUAGGUAACAGGGGCCACAAAUGGGUUGUGGCUAAUGGAACAUGGCUGAAGGGUCUGUGCCAGUUCUGAGCCUCAGGAGGCACUGCUGUUUCUUCUUGCCCUUCUGGGACUUUUGCCAUGGGAAGAACCCACAGUCUUGGGGUCUUUUUCAGCCUGGGUUCCAGAAUGAGAUGCAUUCUGAACAUGAAGGUGGGGCAGAUCUGAACUUGACCCAUCACCUGAAGCCAAACUGUCCAAACCACCUCUCAAAGCUAUGAGCAACAAAUAAAUGCUUAUUUUGUGCGCCUCAGAGAUUUGUAAUUGCUAUACAGCAUCAUUGUAGCAGAAGCCUGUGAAUGCCCCUGGUAACUAGAUUCCUCUCUAUUCUCUCAUACUGUGAGUGCUAGACAGGAGAUGUGGCCAGUCCUGCCUGUUCAGUAUACCAGGUGACCCCAGAGAUAGUGGGAGGGAAAUGCCACACAGAAAUGUCAUUGCACAAAAGAGAAAUGCAGUGCUCAUGUGCAUGUGAGAGCUGGCACUCAGGUGAGCACCAGGGAUGGUUUAGCUCAGGGACUCUCAAACUCAGCACUACUGACAUUGUGCUGUGGGGGUCUCUCUGGUGCAUGGAAGUUAAGAAGUGUCCCCGGCCUCCACCCACUAGAUACCAGCGGCACCUCCUCCCUCCCAUGCUGUGACAAUCAAAAAUGUCUCUAGACAUUGCCAAAUAUACCCCGUGUGGCAAAAUCACUCCCAACUGAGAACCACAGAUUUAGCUGAUCUGGCUUCAGUUCUUCUGAUAAGACCAGAAAAUGACAACUAAUGACACCACUUAUUGAGCAUGUACUGAAUUCCAGGCACUUGGUUAGGCAUUUUCAGGAAUUAAUUGAAUUUGGAAGGUUUAUGAAUGAGGAAGCUCAGGACAGAGAGAAGUAACUUGCUCCAGUAACAUGUUUAGUCCACGGUGGAGCUAAGGCCAAGCUGUCUGACUCCAGGAUUCGUGCUCUUGACCAUACUCUCCAUGCUGCCUCCCCCAGAAAUUAACCCCUUGAGCGAGUCAGGAAAAGAUGCGUCGACACAAGUGUUAUUCUCGUGAAUAUCACUUGAAUUCUGUAUGUGUGUCUUAUAGUAGCAAAAACAGUGUGGGCUUGGUCAGGUGCGAUUCUCGCUACCCUUACAUAGCUGUGGAAUAACCUCGAUAGUCACCGUCGUACUUCCCUGCCUACCUGAGUGGGGCUACACAGACUGCAGGAUGUAUCCAGCCUCUUCAGGCUUUUUCUGGACAACUCAGUCCUACUUAGUGAAAACGUGUUUCGAGAUCCUGCGCCUCUUUGAUGAUAGAGAUAAAAAGCCUUAAAAAGGUUUCUACCCAUUAGUCUAGCAAUUCCACUUCUUGGAAUUUAUCCUUAGGAAGGAAUCAAAUAUGUCAAAUCAAACAAAGAGUUAUGCAUAGGAUAUUUGAUUUUAGUGUGAUUUGCAAGAGCAAACAUUGAAUACGAUAUUGGGCAAAUAAAUUACAGCAUGUCCAGAUGGUGGUAUGUUCGACUUGUAGAUGAAUAUUUUCUUCCAAGGGAAAAACUUCAUGAUAUAUUAUUCUUUGAGAAAAAAAAAGAUUUGAAUACCAUGUAGCAUAUGAUCCCAAUUUUGGAAAUUGUGUAUAUAUUACACCAUCAUAUUGAACAAGCAGGGACUUGUAGGAUGCAACAGAAACGAAUCGUAUUUUUGGUCUCCCACUGUCUUGUUAAGCUUGUUCUGCAAUAUUUAUUCUGCUCCUUAAUAAAAGUGGGGCAAGUUCUACGAAGUCUUUUGUCGCCCUUAUCUAAGAAAACAUGAUCCAGUUACUUCUUCCACAAAAACCCAGUCUCCAUUGGUAAUUAAUAUGCCCAUUCCAGGAUAAGGACCCAAAUCCUCCCAUCGACAUUGCAAAUGAAAAUUUCCUCCCUCUCCCAGCUUUGCUGCAUUAGGCUGGCACCUGCAGUGAGAAGGGGUUGUGGGGCUGUGCGCCUCUAUUUGCUUCACCUGGUGCUUCCAUUUUCCCUCCAUACUCCCCCCACCCCUUGGCUUCUCCAGGAUUGGCCAGGGCAAGAGGAGAAGAGAGGAGGGAAGCGGGUGGGAAGAGACUCACUCCGCUGGUGGUGUUCCAGCCAUCUGGGGUUGACAGAUGACUCACCUCAUGGGUUCCUUCAUGGGUAAUUUGCAGCAACCGCCUCUUAUCUGCCUUUGCCUGACUGGGAGCAUGCAUCUCUUCUGACCGUUCCUCCACUGCUUCUCCCUCACCCCCUAGCAUCUGGCGCCGCACCUCCCAGGCCAGUUCUGCUCCAUGGGAAACUCACACAUGCUUUGCCCUGACAG